ensembl:lncRNA
UAUUUUCCUCUCAAGUAGUGAAAUGAAAUCAUUUUAGAGUAAUUAUUACCAGUUAGAGUGGGACAAAAAUGCAGAUGAAAUUCUAUUGGCGUAAAACAGCAUGACCACGCCCACUAAUGCUGGUUACAUUUAGAUUUUGCCGCCAUUGGCUAUUUGCAAGUGUCUCGUGAAUGGAAGGAGUGGACAGAUCGAGAGUGUGGAUCCGUCCAACAUCACAAGUCAUUCACAGAAUUUCUUCAUUUCUAAAUUUAAUUAGAAUUCAAGUGAAGACGUCCCCAUCUAAAAAGAGCCGAGCAGGGACCCAGGGGUGCCUACAGAGGGCCAUACAGCCGGGUCCACAAACUCUCUGUUCUCCCAGCCCAGCAACAGCAGCCUAGGUGUUCCACACAGCACAGAGACCGAGAGAGGAGGGAGAGGGAGGAAGAGCCCAAUGGUCGGACAAAAGUCAAAAGAUUAGUCCCCAACACAAACCGUCUAUAAAUUAUAGAAUCCAGACAAAAUUAGGCAAAUUAGACAUUACCAGAGGUAUAUAGAUAAUCUUUGACAUUACAAACUAACGAUACAUUACCAACUGACAAACAAGCAAGGAAAGUAACACCUUCCAGAAUUAAUUACAUUUAGGCUAGUUCAUAAUUAUGAUGACAAGCCUGUUGCUAGCACUAGUGCUAAGGCUUAGGUAAAUUGCUAUAGAAUGAAUUGAAGCCUAUAUGUUCAAAAUCAAAUAACUUUAUUUUCAGUUUAAUGAGUAAUAGAAGGGGUUCAGCCAGAUAAUGAGAAUCAGCCAUAUAUUGGUGGUGUCAUGUAAAUGGAUCAUAAUGCAGAAACCACAAUGUCAGCACACGAUGUCUCUGAUGGGAACUCAUUUCAUUAAUGAUUUAAAGAUGAAACUAUGAUGGCCGAAGAAUUUAGCUGAGAACAUGAUGUCUCAUUUAAUGUAUUAUUUUUUUUAAUUUGCUGCAGUGAAUCUAAAGAAUAUUAGUAAUUACAUUGCCUAUUAGCCUAUGGUAAUUUGGUAUGUUAUAGUUACUUCAGUACACAGCAUGGUCAAUAUGAUGGAGGGAAAUUAUUUGGAAGUUGUGAUCCAACCUGGAAGAAGUUGUCUGUCGGCAGUGAGCAAUUUAAACACAAGCAUCGUUUGUAAGGAUGUUGGAAUUUUUUUACUAUUGUGAUUGCCCAUUUCAGUGUCUAUAUUGAUGCUAGUGUGUGAAAAUGUAGGCAAAAUAUGAAAAAUAACUGGGAUUUUGCAGUUUUCAUUCAAACACUUUUUUUAAGUGGGGGAUGGUCAUUGAAAUAUCCCUCUAGACAAGUUGUGGUUAUACAAUACACAGGGAACCUAUAAUAGCCUCACUUCCAUUUGAUUUGAGAGAGGGAAGCAGUCUGGUGGGCAGGAGUUCGGACUUAAAAUGUGCAUGUGUUUCACAGCUGACCCAAAGGCCCUUGAAGUCCUAAAGCUGAGAGCUGAGCUACAGGCAGAAAAAUACCAAAACAAAGUGCUGCUGGACACCAUGACCACCUUGAAAAGCAAGCUGGCAUCCCUAAGAGGUGCACCAUCUUUGAAUUAACUAACAUUUAAAUAACAGUUGAGAAUUAGUCUGUCCUAAGAUUAACAGGUGGACUGGAUUGUUAUGAGUGUCAUGAUUUCAAACGCUACGUUACUCUUUUUACAUAGUCAUUGUGCCUGUUUGGAGAUGGGGUUAGGGUUAAAUAGUUCACAAAUGUUAUUGUUACUCUGUGUGUAGGGUCUGACCAGCAGUAGGCUACGUGCUGGAAUCAGGCGGGGACUCCAGCAGCGAGGGGGAAUCAACCAGGGGACUCGUCCUCAUUAUCUUCCUCUGUCUCUGAGGAGGAACAUUUCCCAAAGAAGAAGUGAAGAGCCUGAGGGUGGGUGAAGAAACAACAUUUUUACACAAACUACCCAAUUGUACUACCUUACAAAUUGGAAAUUAUUAUUUUUUGUUUUGUUCUGUUUUCUAUUGCAGUGAAAACAGUGAAUGGUGUUGUGCAGAGGUACAACCAUAGCUGCAGGAAGUAUAAAUUAAAAUACGUUUGGCAAAAUUAUAUAGUUACUCCCAUCUUGCAUUGCCGGGAAACCCGCGAUUUAGGCAGCUUGUUGCAUUGCCCCCAUAGAAAUAGAAUCCAUAGAAGGGUGUUGUAAACUUAUGGGUACACUCAAAAUGGCUGCAUGUCCAGACUUUGUAUUUGUAUUUAUUAUGGAUCCCCAUUAGCUUCUGCAUAGGCAGUUUUAAAAACAUUACAAUACAUGCAGGAGUGAAAAUCUGAUAUCAACUUUGGAGGGGACAAUUACAUGAGAUUUUCUCAAGAGCAAUUCCUGAGGGGGACACCAAAAGUAGUGCUGUAACACAGCCUACGUUGUAUAUUUAGGAACCAUAAUUACUACAACUGGAUAAUUGAUGUGUACAGUAGUUAACUGAAGGGUUGUCUCAACUUGUUCAAAUGUUUAAAUCAUAAUACUUCUAGUACUAAUAGUUAUAGCAGUUUUCCUUAUCAGUCCAGUAUGUAUGCAGGUGUUUGUAUUUACAACCAGAAAUACCAAGAAAGGCCACUAGGUGGCAAUGGUACUGUAUGGGUGCAGUUUUCGUAAAUGCAAUGAACAUGGUGUGAUCUCAUCUAAAAGAAUCUCCAUUGAGAACCAUCGAAGUUGGUCUCCGUAUUGAAAUGACCUUUUUAUUUGACUUUUUCUGAUACAUUUAUAUAGUCAUUAAAUAUGUGCCACUGGCCUGAGUCUACUACAAUAGCUUUACAAGAACAAAAAGCUCAAAAUAAGUACAGUUCUAAAAGCUACUUCAAUGAAUAAUCCAAAUAAAUCAACCAAAAUAUCCUUCAAAAAUACUUAUUUAUUGUUCAGUGUCUCAACUCUUCAAACAGCAGCUGUGGACAAGUAUGCCAUAACAAAAUUAAUAAUUGGUAAGUGUACUGUCAAGUAUUAAAAACUACUAAACAAAAGAACAAAUAUCAUACUAUACGCCAGGGGUUCUCAAACAGGGGUCCGUGGCCUUGGUGUAAUUGCAGUGGGGCCGUGUAAUGAAUGUAUUUAGUACCAAAAGCUACUUCAAUGAAUAACCCAAAUAAAUCAACCAAAAUAUCCUUCAAAAAUACUUACAUAUUGUUCAGUCAGUAUCUCAACUCUUCAAACAGCAGCUAUGGACAAGUAUGUCACACAAAGUAUGCCAUUUUAAAUAAAAUAACAAAAUGAAUAAUUAGUAAGUGUACUAAAAACUACUAAACAAAAGAACAAAUAUCAUACUAUACACCAGGGGUUCUCAAACAGGGGUCC